rnacentral:rRNA from 1 species
AGCGAACGCUAGCGGCAGGCUUAACACAUGCAAGUCGAGCGCCAGGUUUCGGCCUGGAGCGGCGAACGGGUGAGUAACACGUAGGUCACGUACCCUAUGGUGGGGAAUACCCCGGGGAAACUCGGAUCAAUGCCCCAUAUGUCCGAAAGGAUGAAAGCGCUUCGGCGCGCCAGAGGAUCGGCCUGCGGCCCAUUAUUUAAUCCUAGUUGGUGAGGUAACGGCUCACCAAGGGUACGAUGGGUAGCUGGUCUGAGAGGACGAUCAGCCACACUGGAACUGAGACACGGUCCAGACUCCUACGGGAGGCAGCAGUGGGGAAUAUUGGACAAUGGGCGAAAGCCUGAUCCAGCCAUGCCGCGUGAGUGAUGAAGGCCUUCGGGUUGUAAAGCUCUGUCGUGGGGGAGGAAGUUCUGACGGUACCCCACAAGAAAGCACCGGCUAACUCCGUGCCAGCCGCCGCAGUAAAAC